AUAAAAGGCGAGCACCGGGUAAGCCGGGGCGUGGCUCCGGCGGCUCCUCCAUUGCGCCUUGAUGCUGCUCCUGUCUGCACGUGAUCCUCCAGAGCAAGACCAGAGGCAAUCCAGGGAAGACUGCUGGGAUGAAUACCUUCCAUCCUCUCCCUAUGUACCAGAAAUGGGAUCGUCUGACAGUGCCCAAUGGGCUGGAGGCUGUGAGCAUGGAGAGCAAGGGCUGCCUGAGCAGCGGACGGUGAAGAGACAGAUGGGACAUCGUUGGAACGCAGGCCCAAGGAGAGGCCCCGUGCAGGGACAGGUCGAGCACCCCGGGAUGGUCCCUGAAGAGAGCUGCGAUUCCAGAAGGGAUACAAC